rnacentral:rRNA from 1 species
UACGGGGGGGGUAAGCGUUGUUCGGAAUUACUGGGCGUAAAGGGCUCGUAGGCGGCCAACUAAGUCAUACGUGAAAUCCCUCAGCUUAACUGGGGAACUGCGUCUGAUACUGGUUGGCUUGAGUGCAGGAGAGGAACGCGGAAUUCCAGGUGUAGCGGUGAAAUGCGCAGAUAUCAGGAAGAACACCUAUGGCGAAAGCAGCUCUCUGGGACGGUACUGACGCUGAGACGCGAAAGCGUGGGGAGCGAACAGG